rnacentral:rRNA from 1 species
GACGAACGCUGGCGGCGUGUUUAACACAUGCAAGUCGAACGGAAAGGCCCUGCUUUUGUGGGGUGCUCGAGUGGCGAACGGGUGAGUAACACGUGAGUAACCUGCCCUUGACUUUGGGAUAACUUCAGGAAACUGGGGCUAAUACCGGAUAGGAGCUCCUGCUGCAUGGUGGGGGUUGGAAAGUUUCGGCGGUUGGGGAUGGACUCGCGGCUUAUCAGCUUGUUGGUGGGGUAGUGGCUUACCAAGGCUUUGACGGGUAGCCGGCCUGAGAGGGUGACCGGCCACAUUGGGACUGAGAUACGGCCCAGACUCCUACGGGAGGCAGCAGUGGGGAAUAUUGCACAAUGGGCGGAAGCCUGAUGCAGCAACGCCGCGUGCGGGAUGACGGCCUUCGGGUUGUAAACCGCUUUCGCCUGUGACGAAGCGUGAGUGACGGUAAUGGGUAAAGAAGCACCGGCUAACUACGUGCCAGCAGCCGCGGUGAUACGUAGGGUGCGAGCGUUGUCCGGAUUUAUUGGGCGUAAAGGGCUCGUAGGUGGUUGAUCGCGUCGGAAGUGUAAUCUUGGGGCUUAACCCUGAGCGUGCUUUCGAUACGGGUUGACUUGAGGAAGGUAGGGGAGAAUGGAAUUCCUGGUGGAGCGGUGGAAUGCGCAGAUAUCAGGAGGAACACCAGUGGCGAAGGCGGUUCUCUGGGCCUUUCCUGACGCUGAGGAGCGAAAGCGUGGGGAGCGAACAGGCUUAGAUACCCUGGUAGUCCACGCUGUAAACGGUGGGUACUAGGUGUGGGGUCCAUUCCACGGGUUCCGUGCCGUAGCUAACGCUUUAAGUACCCCGCCUGGGGAGUACGGCCGCAAGGCUAAAACUCAAAGGAAUUGACGGGGCCCCGCACAAGCGGCGGAGCAUGCGGAUUAAUUCGAUGCAACGCGUAGAACCUUACCUGGGUUUGACAUGGAUCGGGAGUGCUCAGAGAUGGGUGUGCCUCUUUUGGGGUCGGUUCACAGGUGGUGCAUGCCUGUCGUCAGCUCGUGUCGUGAGAUGUUGGGUUAAGUCCCGCAACGAGCGCAACCCUUGUUCACUGUUGCCAGCACGUUAUGGUGGGGACUCAGUGGAGACCGCCGGGGUCAACUCGGAGGAAGGUGGGGAUGACGUCAAGUCCUCAUGCCCCUUAUGUCCAGGGCUUCACGCAUGCUACAAUGGCUGGUACAGAGAGUGGCGAGCCUGUGAGGGUGAGCGAAUCUCGGAAAGCCGGUCUCAGUUCGGAUUGGGGUCUGCAACUCGACCUCAUGAAGUCGGAGUCGCUAGUAAUCGCAGAUCAGCAACGCUGCGGUGAAUACGUUCCCGGG